rnacentral:lncRNA from 1 species
AGCACCACUGCAGUCAGUAGCAACCUCAGCUCUCCCGUGACAGUGAGGAGCAGUCAGAGUUUUGACUCAAGCUUGCACGGAGCUGGAAGUGGGGUUUCUCGGGUACCGUCCUGCAGGAUGUGUCAUCUUCCUCGCAACGGGCUAAUCAGCCUUAAUUAGGAAGUCAGCCUCAAACCCACCCAUCCUUUCUCCUGAAAUGCAACUGGCAACAAAUGAACUCAUCUGUUUCACAUUUCCACGUGGGGUGUGGGGGACUAAGGAGGCUGGAGUUGCAUUCUUCCAGAUCUUAAUUAAAUCCUUCCUCUACAUGUAAACAUUCCCAAAAGAAAUGUCAACUGCACCAGCCCAGACGAGGAUCGGGAGUCUCUGAGGACUCUAUUUUAUUGAUUUUUAAAUGCCCCAUGACGUUCAAGCAUACCUUUGCCUCAGUUUCCCCUGUUGUUACCUCUAUUGGCCCUACAGAUUUCCUAGAUGCUGUUAGUAAGAAACGACCUCUCCAUCAUUGCUUUAAAUGUUUUAAUUACACAUUAAAAUGUU